UGGGGGAUAUUGCACAAUGGGCGAAAGCCUGAUGCAGCGACGCCGCGUGGGGGAUGAAGGCCUUCGGGUUGUAAACUUCUUUUGCUCUGAACAAGGCAUGCUAAUGGGUGUGUUGUGAGUAGGGGUUGAUUAGCGCCGGCUAACUACGUGCCAGCAGCCGAGGUAAUACGUAGGGCGCGAGCGUUGUCCGGAAUUAUUGGGCGUAAAGGGCUUGUAGGUGGCUGGUUGCGUCUGUCGUGAAAGCUCAUGGCUUAACUGGGGGUGUACGGUGGGUACGGGCUGACUUGAGUGCAGUAGGGGAGGGUGGAAUUCCUGGUGUAGCGGUGGAAUGCGCAGAUAUCAGGAGGAAUACCGGUGGCGAAGGCGGGUCUCUGGGCUGUUACUGACGCUGAGGAGCGAAAGCAUGGGGAGCGAACAGG
rnacentral:rRNA from 1 species